UACGGGGGGAGCAAGCGUUGUUCGGAUUUACGGGGCGUAAAGGGCGCGUAGGCGUCCAGCACAAGUCAGUUGUGAAAUCUCCGAGCUUAACUCGGAAAGGUCAACUGAUACUGUGCGGCUAGAGUGCGGAAGGGGCAACUGGAAUUCUUGGUGUAGCGGUGAAAUGCGUAGAUAUCAAGAGGAACACCUGCGGCGAAGGCGGGUUGCUGGGCCGACACUGACGCUGAGGCGCGAAAGCUAGGGGAGCGAACGGG
rnacentral:rRNA from 1 species